CGGCGGCAGACUGUCCGUUUCUAGACUUAAAAGACUGUGUUUUGGCCACCAGGAGUUCACCCGCUUCAGGCAACAUCUCUUCCAGGGAAGCUAAUCGGAAAUGAAUGCUGCCCGGCAAGACGUGCUCGGGCGGCUGAUGGAUGUGGAGGUAGAGCACGAUGACUGCAGCGAGAUGCUGGAGCUCCAGACCAUCCUUCUGGAUAUCAAGAAUAAAAGACAGGAGAGGCUCGUCGGGCAGCUGGAGGCAGCUAUAGAGAAAACAAAGGAACUUCAGGAAAACGCUGAAGCUGCAAGACUAGCACAGAUAGAAUGUGA